rnacentral:rRNA from 1 species
UAGGGAAUCUUCGGCAAUGGGGGGAACCCUGACCGAGCAACGCCGCGUGAGUGAAGAAGGUUUUCGGAUCGUAAAGCUCUGUUGUUAAGGAAGAACGAGUGUGAGAAUGGAAAGUUCAUGCUGUGACGGUACUUAACCAGAAAGGGACGGCUAACUACGUGCCAGCAGCCGCGGUAAUACGUAGGUCCCGAGCGUUGUCCGGAUUUAUUGGGCGUAAAGCGAGCGCAGGCGGUUAGAAAAGUCUGAAGUGAAAGGCAGUGGCUCAACCAUUGUAGGCUUUGGAAACUGUUUAACUUGAGUGCAGAAGGGGAGAGUGGAAUUCCAUGUGUAGCGGUGAAAUGCGUAGAUAUAUGGAGGAACACCGGUGGCGAAAGCGGCUAUCUGGUCUGUAACUGACACUGAGGCUCGAAAGCGUGGGGAGCGAACAGG